rnacentral:rRNA from 1 species
GCUGGCGGCAGGCCUAACACAUGCAAGUCGAGCGGUAACAUUUCUAGCUUGCUAGAAGAUGACGAGCGGCGGACGGGUGAGUAAGCGUAGAAAUCUACCUAGUAGUGGGGGAUAGCCCAGAGAAAUUUGGAGUUAAUACCGCAUACGCCCUACCGGGGGAAAGACCGGGGGAGUCUUCGGACCUCGUGCUAUUAGAUGAGUCUGCGUCGGAUUAGCUUGUUGGUGAGGUAAUGGCUCACCAAGGCGACGAUCCGUAGCUGGUCUGAGAGGAUGACCAGCCACACUGGAACUGAGACACGGUCCAGACUCCUACGGGAGGCAGCAGUGGGGAAUAUUGCACAAUGGGCGCAAGCCUGAUGCAGCCAUGCCGCGUGUGUGAAGAAGGCCUUAGGGUUGUAAAGCACUUUCAGCAGUGAGGAAAGGGGUGUCGUUAAUAGCGCCAUCCUGUGACGUUAACUGCAGAAGAAGGACCGGCUAACUCCGUG